ACGGGGGGCCUACGGGAGGCAGCAGUGGGGAAUAUUGCACAAUGGGCGCAAGCCUGAUGCAGCCGUGCCGCGUGUAUGAAGAAGGCCUUCGGGUUGUAAAGUACUUUCAGCGGGGAGGAAGGUGUUGAGGUUAAUAACCUCAGCAAUUGACGUUACCCGCAGAAGAAGCACCGGCUAACUCCGUGCCAGCAGCCGCGGUAAU
rnacentral:rRNA from 1 species